AAACUGGAGGAAGUGGCUGAUGAACUGUCUAAGCUCUCAUGGACUUCCUUUAAGAAACUGGAUGUCAGGGUUGGUAAGUCCCAGCAUAGAGACCCUGUUUCUUCACCAGCUGGGCAGCUGUGAGGAUGGUGCUCGUACCACAUCUCAUCCCGCUUCUCCUCCCUGGCCUUUGCUGCCGUCUUCUCCCCACUGCUGGAGAAGCACUGGGACCCCAUUGGUCGGGAUGGCCAAGAGCUCCAGCUCAGCAAAGCUGGACGCGCAGGAGAUCCUGGCGCACCCCCGCCUGUUAGAAUAGCUUUCGAAACCCUAUCUGUGUAGGAGGUACACAAUUUGCAGAGAUGUUGAACCUUCCGCGUGAGCAACUUCGAAAGCGUCCUCAUCUACUCUCUGCGUAUGGAUGGUGCCCGGGCUGUUGCUAAUGGGUUAUUGCUCUUUCUGGCAACAGAUUUACUCAGAUGUCCACCCUUUGGCCAGAAACGCUGCAUGUCAUACAUGCAGAGUCAUAAAUACAAACAUAAUGAUGAAUAAAUUAAAGAUGAUACCAUUAGCAAGCACAUAGCCCUUCUGAAAGAA